GAUGAAGAACGUAGCGAAAUGCGAUAAGUAAUGUGAAUUGCAGAAUUCAGUGAAUCAUCGAAUCUUUGAACGCACCUUGCACCCUUUGGUAUUCCGAAGGGUAUGCUCGUUUGAGUGUCAUUGUACUCUCACACUUCUAAUUCCUUUCGGGAUUGGGAGCGGUGGACUUGGGUGUUGCUGCUUUAGUUGUGGCUCACCUCAAAUAAGUUAGUGCAACUCUUGGUUGGACAUAGUACGGCGUGAUAAGUGUCUUCGCCUGCGCCUCUGUAAGGAGGGUGGCCGAUCGGGAGCUCUGUGCUUCAAACCGUCUUCGGACAAUCUUUGACAACUUGACCUCAAAUCGAGUAGGACUACCCGCUGAACUUAAGCAUAUCAAUAAGCGGAGGA
rnacentral:misc_RNA from 1 species